UGAGUGGCGGACGGGUGAGUAACGCGUGGGCAACCUGCCCUGUACAGGGGGACAACACUUAGAAAUAGGUGCUAAUACCGCAUAACGGGGGGGAGCCGCAUGGCACCCCCUGAAAACUCCGGUGGUACAGGAUGGGCCCGCGUCUGAUUAGCUGGUUGGCAGGGUAACGGCCUACCAAGGCGACGAUCAGUAGCCGGCCUGAGAGGGCGGACGGCCACACUGGGACUGAGACACGGCCCAGACUCCUACGGAAGGCAGCAG
rnacentral:rRNA from 1 species